UACGGAGGGUGCAAGCAUUAAUCGGAUUUAUUGGCGUAAAGGGCGCGUAGGCGGUAAUGUAAGUCAGAUGUGAAAUCCCAGGGCUCAACCCUGGAACAGCAUUUGAAAACUAUAUUUCUAGAGGGUAGGCGGAGAAAACGGAAUUCCACAUGUAGCGGUGAAAUGCGUAGAUAUGUGGAAGAACAUCGGUGGCGAAGGCGGUUUUCUAGCUUAUACCUGACGCUGAGGCGCGAA
rnacentral:rRNA from 1 species